ensembl:lncRNA
UGUGAGUGUAUGUGUGUCUGUGUUUUUGUGUUUGAGUGUGUGUGAGGUUCACACACUUUGUGCUGACUGCAGUGAAAGCGGAGGGUCAGGGAUAGUUAGACCUUGUCCUCUCUGCAGACUGAACAACUGGAACAACUCUGAAGAUCUGGGAAACUACAGCAGCUACAUUCACUACUGCGAGUACUGCAGUACAAACCUGAGAUGAUUUUCAACAUCUCUGUUAUUGCUGGGUUUAUGCAUAUCUGAAUAGUCUGCUGGAUGGAGAUGAUGGUACAGAACCUGGAUCAUAACUGUGCCGGUGAAGCUGAAGAGGACCUGGAAAGAACAACCCCAAACAUGCAGCACACUAUGAAACAUCCAGCUGUGCAAGAUGAGCAGAAACACCACAGCAGGAAAACUCUGACAUGAAGUUUGAGUGUUCCAGCAGGACAGAGACUCAAAAUCAUAGCCACAGACUCUGUUGGAUGCAGCUUGGUUUUGGUCUUGUCCGAGGAUAUAUGUCAUGCAGACGGGAGCAGACGGGGAUGGAACCUAAACCUUCUGUUUAAUGUUUGCAGUUUUUUACUUCAGCUCUUUUAUCCUUGUGUUGUUUCCUGUGAUGUGCACUCUGUCUACUUUGUCACUUUGAGGCUGUAAAUCUAAUAAAAAAUUAUCUUUGUGUUUUGUUUGCCUGUUUUUAGGUCCUCUAAAUCACUGUGGUCAGUUGUGCUGUACAGACUAUGCAUGCAUGUACCUGUGUUAAAAAUACUCUGUAUACUCUGCUGACUGCUUCAGUAUGAAAAGCAGUGAUGGAUGUUCCAACAAGAUCAUCUUCUGUGUUUUUGUUCCUCCUGCGAGUCACGUACAAUGUUUGUGUCACGAUCCUGGGUCUUAGGACCCAGUGUUUUGAGUUCUAGUUCAUUUUGAUGUUUAUAGUAUGUUUAGCUCAUUAGGCCUCCUAUGUUGAUUUGCUUAUUAGUUCCCCCUUGUGUUUCAACCCAUGUUAAGUCUCCCCUGCCCUUCAUGUCUCUCUGUGCCCCCUCUGUUCUGUUUAUGGUGUGUCUUUGCAUGUUUGAGUUUCUUGUUUUCUGUCACCCUGCAUUGUGCAUUAUGUUCUCAUGGUUGGUCUUUUGUUACUCCCUCUAGUCUAGUCUCUUGUGUUCAAAGCUGAGUAUUUCCCUCUGUGUAUUUUGGUUCUUAGACCUCUGCCUUAUGGUUUGUCUCUGUUUCUUAGUUGCUGUCUCCACUGUGUCUAGUUCGCGUCUCUGUGUGAUACUUCCUGUUUUACUUUGAAGGUCCAUGCCUCAUGUGAGUGUUUCUAGUGUUGCGUCUCUGUCUCGUCCAGUCCUGAUUUCUCCCAGCUGUGCCCUCCUUCUGUGUCUCAUUCCCUCGUUAUCCCUCUGUGUAUUUAAGCCCUGUGUUUCUCUUUGUCAGUGUCGUAGUCUCCAUCAUAGCUGUGUGAUUUUUCCCUGUGGCUCCUUGUGCUUUAGUUUUCCCAGUUUAGUUUAUUUUGUAUUGUUUUUCGUGUCCCACUCCACGCCAGCAAUAAAGCUGUGUUUUUUGAGUUUACCUUUUGUCUCUGUGAGUUUGCGUUUGGGUCCUACUUUUGCCUGCACACAGCCGUACUGUGACAGAAGACUACGACCAUUACAUGGACCCAGCAAACCGCUCUCAGCUGCGUGAGCGUCAGGAUGCUGCCUUUGCUGAGCUAGAGGAGGAGCUCCGCUUGAGGCCGUGGCGCACUCCUGACUACGGGCGGAUUUUCCG